UUGAACGCUGGCGGCAUGCUUUACACCUGCCAGUCGCACGGCAGCGCGGGCUUCGGCCUGGCGGCGAGUGGCGAACGGGUGAGUAAUGCAUUGGAACGUGCCCAGUAGUGGGGGAUAGCCCGGCGAAAGCCGGAUUAAUACCGCAUACGACCUGAGGGUGAAAGCGGGGGACCGAAAGGCCUCGCGCUAUUGGAGCGGCCGAUGUCGGAUUAGCUAGUUGGUGGGGUAAAGGCUUACCAAGGCGACGAUCCGUAGCUGGUCUGAGAGGACGACCAGCCACACUGGGACUGAGACACGGCCCAGACUCCUACGGGAGGCAGCAGUGGGGAAUUUUGGACAAUGGGGGCAACCCUGAUCCAGCCAUGCCGCGUGCGGGAAGAAGGCCUUCGGGUUGUAAACCGCUUUUGUUCGGGAAGAAAUCCUCUGGGCUAAUACCCCGGGGGGAUGACGGUACCGGAAGAAUAAGCACCGGCUAACUACGUG
rnacentral:rRNA from 1 species